UGAGGAAUAUUGGACAAUGGGCGCAAGCCUGAUCCAGCCAUGCCGCGUGAGUGAUGAAGGCCUUAGGGUUGUAAAGCUCUUUCAGUGGGGACGAUAAUGACGGUACCCACAGAAGAAGCCCCGGCUAACUACGUGC
rnacentral:rRNA from 1 species